rnacentral:rRNA from 1 species
GAUGAACGCUGGCGGCGUGCCUAAUACAUGCAAGUCGAGCGAACAGACGAGGAGCUUGCUCCUCUGACGUUAGCGGCGGACGGGUGAGUAACACGUGGAUAACCUACCUAUAAGACUGGGAUAACUUCGGGAAACCGGAGCUAAUACCGGAUAAUAUAUUGAACCGCAUGGUUCAAUAGUGAAAGACGGUUUUGCUGUCACUUAUAGAUGGAUCCGCGCCGCAUUAGCUAGUUGGUAAGGUAACGGCUUACCAAGGCAACGAUGCGUAGCCGACCUGAGAGGGUGAUCGGCCACACUGGAGCUGGGACACGGUCCAGACUCCUACGGGAGGCAGCAGUAGGGAAUCUUCCGCAAUGGGCGAAAGCCUGACGGAGCAACGCCGCGUGAGUGAUGAAGGUCUUCGGAUCGUAAAACUCUGUUAUUAGGGAAGAACAGAUGUGUAAGUAACUAUGCACGUCUUGACGGUACCUAAUCAGAAAGCCACGGCUAACUACGUG